AGGAAAUCAAGUUUUUCCCCCUCUAUUAACUGGAAAUUCAAGAAAGCAUCCUCCUUCAAGAAAAUACUUAAGCACAUACUUAUUCACCAUUCAUAUGUUAAAAUGCAGGUGAAUCACUAUGCCUGUGAGGUAGUCAACUGUAGAUUUUGCUUGAAAGCCAUGUAGUUACUAUGUUCAAUUAAAAUUAAGUUGAAGUUUUGCUUCUUUUGGAGGGGAAAGAGAGCAACCUUUCACAUGUAUUUUUAUAAAAUACAUACACAAUUUUAUUGAAUGGCUUUUUGUCUUCUGUCAGCUAAUUUUAACCUAGAUGUACUUUUCUUUCGAGAUUAAAAAGAGAAACUACAUCCUUUGAUGUCAGGCAAACUCAUGCAUGCUUUAUCAGGGGCAGCUGAAGGAAGUGCUUUCCUGUAGCACCUGCUUCUCAGCUGAUGAAUUCUGCUUGAUGCAGGUGGUAACGAAUUGUGUAUUUUUAAGGUUUGUCAGGAUUCUCAUCUGUUAGGAUUUUAAGUUCAGAACUGUGGGAAAUGGUUCUGUGAUGGUUUAGGGUUUCUUAGUGCAUCUUAAUUGAUGGGUUUUUUAAUAGCUAUAAUGUUAAAUCAGAUAACUUGAUUAAUCUGUCAGAAUUGGAAAUGUGUUCUAAAAAGGGUAUAGGUUAUUAAAAAUGUCUGAUGCAAUAAACAUUUACUCCUUUAAAUGUUCUGCAAUUAAUGCUAGAUGGUUUUGUUUUAAUGUGCCAGGAAAUAUAAAUACAGAAAUAGCUACUGGAAUUUGAUGGCUCACUAACACACAAACUUACUGAAUGGGUUAAAGCAGUUGAGCUUGAUCCCAAAUAUUCUGAGUAUCUGUGUAUGAUGGUAUUCAUGUAUGAUGGAAUUGAUUAUGUUAAUGUUUAGCAGAUUCUGAGAGCACAUUUUGACAUGUUUCCUAAAGAAAAUAUGUAUUGUCUGCACUGUGUUAGGAAACUGGGUACUUGUAGAUACCAUUAAUAUUUUUCAUGCAACUUCUUUUGGCUACAUGAUUACAAAUAAUGAAGACUGAGUUCAGGCUAAUUAUGUUUUUUUAAAGUUUAAUAGAUAAAAGGAAAUAAUGGGAACAAAAUUAAGUAGUUAUAACUAUUUAAAAGCCCAGUGUAAAACUGUUGCCUGAGAUUAGGUUUUGUACCAGAAUAGUAAAACCAAAUAGAGAAACUUGUAUCUUUUGCUGCAGUUAUGUGAAGAUCACUUCUGUAACUGGAAUAAAGGCCUUGUCUUUUCCAAGAUGCACAGAAAUCUUGUCCAUACUCAGUAACUCUGGGAUGUUCUGGACACAUUAGGGUUAUUGCAUGUGCAUAGAUUAAGGCUAGAGAAUUCAGGCUGUAAUUCUGAUGUGUGGGUUGUGUGUUGAAUUUCUGCUGCAUAUCCUGUAUGGCUCAUCUGCUUGUGCUCCAUACAUCUGGCCCAUCUAGUAACUUUAACAGGGAUAGUAGGUAUCUGAUAAUCCAGUAAAAAGAGAAAAAUUAAGUGAAAUUAUUCUGCAAAAAAAACCCUUUAAUUCACUGUACUAGAAAAUGGCAGUUGGUAAUUUCUUAGGUUAUUUUAUUUAUGCAGAAAAAAAUAUUUAUGGAUGUUUUAAAGUACAACAGAGGAAGUAGGAUGAGCAAUAACAUCAUUAUUUUACUUUCAAAAAUUCACUCCAGUAAAAAAAUAUGGAUUUGUUUACAACCAAAGGGUAUUGCGAUUUUGGCCUGGUAAGUAAUUUCUUAUCAAAUAAGCCACAAACUAGGUUAAUCUAUUGAUGCUAGUCAGAAAGAUUUAUUGUCAGAGCCUUGAGGAAAUUUAUGCAGAGACCAUAAAGGUUAAGGAAAAAAAAAAGUUUUUUUUAAAUCAGCCCUGCUCUUGCAUUCUCUCUCAUCAUGCAGGAUCCAAGGAACCAACCAUUCCAAAAUACUUCUGUCUUGAACAGCUGCAAGAAGAAUUUAACUGUUACUGAAGAAGUUAUUAGCAGUGCUCAGGGAAGAUUUAGAGCUGGUGAAAUGAGAAAGUGUUGACACCACAUGUGAGAACCCUUCAUGAGAUACUGGUGUUGCUCUCGGAUACUGUGACUAUAAUUUGGAGGAGUUAUUUUGCUGGUUUGUAUGUUGGUUUUGUUUGUUUUGGUGGUGUUAUUUAUUUACUAGAUGUCAUUUUUGUAUCAGUUUAAAAAGAUGAACUCUGAGUUUAGGACUCUCAAGUCUGAUCUGCAAAGCACCAUCUUGCAUCUAACAGUGUUUAUUAGUUCAAAGUGCAGUGCUGUAUGAAGAUGAUGCAUCUAACUUCCAAGGGCUUUGGAAAUGAUUCAACUGCAUCAACACUGUGCUGCAUCUUGAGCUGAGAAAACUGGCUAGAUCCAAACUAGCAUAUGAGGAAGCAGCUUUGGUAUCUAUACCUGCAGCACUGUUAGUUGUUACUUUUUCUAUCUGCCAAAAAAUAUUUUUAAUUUUGUGUUUUCAAUUCUAUCAUCUUUGCAUUUUGAUAGGACAUGUUUUAAGUGUUGCAAUGGCUACUCAUAUGAGAAAGAAUUGUGUUGGCUAAGUUGCAAUUCUGUUCUCAGCUCCUCUGGAGAAAUUGAAAGUAAUACAAAAUAAAUAGAAAGUGAUCCUAUAGUGUUCGCAGAAGUCUGUAGGAGGUUUGGUUUUUAUAAAAGCAGGGUGAUGAGAUUUUAAAAUUUCAGAGUAAUGAUAUUCUACAGUGUCCAGUAGUACAUAUUAUAACAACUGCAGUGGGUAUUUACUGUUUGUGAGUACUCUGUAUGUCUUUUUAUGCCUUAGAGCUUAUGUGAAAACAGACCUCUGCUUUGUUACUGUGAUUCCAAAAUAGCCUUUUCCCAAAACUUUUUAAGGAAACACUUCUUUUGUCCAUUUUGUGACUACAAUGAAAGGUGGGUCAUGUUUCCCUCACGCUGAGAAGAGCAUGAAGGCCUGAAGGAGGAACUGAAGUGAAGCUUGUCUGAGCAACACAAAGAGUUCAGCAAAUACAAGGUUCAGUCACAGUACUUGAACUAUUCAAGCUCCAGGCUUCUUCAUUCAGCCAUAGCUGAUGUUUAUCAUGAGAACGUACACUGUAGGAAGUUUGGGAGAAAAGAGUGAAUUAAGGGGUAUUUGGAAUGUAGCUCUGUUUGCAAUAAAAUACUUCAUUGGCUUGUUUACAGAU